rnacentral:rRNA from 1 species
GAUGAACGCUGGCGGCGUGCCUAAUACAUGCAAGUCGAGCGAACAGAUGAGGAGCUUGCUCCUCUGACGUUAGCGGCGGACGGGUGAGUAACACGUGGAUAACCUACCUAUAAGACUGGGAUAACUUCGGGAAACCGGAGCUAAUACCGGAUAAUAUAUUGAACCGCAUGGUUCAAUAGUGAAAGACGGUUUUGCUGUCACUUAUAGCUUGAUCCGCGCCGCAUUAGCUAGUUGGUAAGGUAACGGCUUACCAAGGCAACGAUGCGUAGCCGACCUGCGAGGGUGAUCGGCCACACUGGAACUGAGACACGGUCCAGACUCCUACGGGAGGCAGCAGUAGGGAAUCUUCCGCAAUGGGCGAAAGCCUGACGGAGCAACGCCGCGUGAGUGAUGAAGGUCUUCGGAUCGUAAAACUCUGUUAUUAGGGAAGAACAAAUGUGUAAGUAACUAUGCACGUCUUGACGGUACCUAAUCAGAAAGCCACGGCUAACUACGUG